rnacentral:rRNA from 1 species
UGGGGAAUUUUGGACAAUGGGCACAAGCCUGAUCCAGCAAUGCCGCGUGCAGGAUGAAGGCCUUCGGGUUGUAAACUGCUUUUGUACGGAACGAAACGGCUCUGCCUAAUACAUGGGGCUAAUGACGGUACCGUAAGAAUAAGCACCGGCUAACUACGUGCCAGCAGCCGCGGUAAUACGUAGGGUGCAAGCGUUAAUCGGAAUUACUGGGCGUAAAGCGUGCGCAGGCGGUUAUAUAAGACAGAUGUGAAAUCCCCGGGCUCAACCUGGGACCUGCAUUUGUGACUGUAUAGCUAGAGUACGGUAGAGGGGGAUGGAAUUCCGCGUGUAGCAGUGAAAUGCGUAGAUAUGCGGAGGAACACCAAUGGCGAAGGCAAUCCCCUGGACCUGUACUGACGCUCAUGCACGUAAGCGUAGGGAG